UACGUAGGGGGCAAGCGUUAUCCGGAUUUACUGGGUGUAAAGGGAGCGUAGACGGCUGUGCAAGUCUGAAGUGAAAGGCAUGGGCUCAACCUGUGGACUGCUUUGGAAACUGUGCAGCUAGAGUGUCGGAGAGGUAAGUGGAAUUUCUAGUGUAGCGGUGAAAUGCGUAGAUAUUAGGAGGAACACCAGUGGCGAAGGCGGCUUACUGGACGAUGACUGACGUUGAGGCUCGAAAGCGUGGGGAGCAAACAGG
rnacentral:rRNA from 1 species